ensembl:snoRNA
UUGCAUCCACUGACAGACCUUGAGUAGUUGGUGGUUGUUCUUCUGGCUUGUACUAGGAUGCCAAGGAAAAUGCUCCCUGUGCUUCCUGCCUGUCUUUGUGGCAGUCCAGAUUGAGUUGGGGAGUACAUGU